GUGACUGUUGAGAGCUUUUCUUAUUAUAGUCUAGCUUCUUUACAUGAGUUUGAAAUCUGAUUGAAUUGCAAAUUAUAUUAGUAACUAUGGAAUAUAUGAAGAGUUUGGGGUCUUCUGUCAUUGAAAUAAUCAAAGCCAAGAAUAAGCGUGAAAUGUUGGAGCAAAAAAUAGACGACCUACUGAGCCAUCAGAGACAAUUUGUCGAAAAUAAUCGUCGGUCCUUAGAACAGAAAAGAAAAGAAAAGGAAAAGGAAGUAUUUUGUCAGCUACAUGACUUACUGGGAGGGGAUCUCCCGUGCGACCAGAUAAACAGGGACUU